CAGCAGCCGCCGCGGGAAUACGUAGGGUGCAAGCGUUAAUCGGAAUUACUGGGCGUAAAGCGUGCAUAGGCGGUUUGUUAAGUCUGUUGUGAAAUCCCCGGGCUCAACCUGGGAAUGGCAAUGGAUACUGGCAAGCUAGAGUGUGUCAGAGGAUGGUGGAAUUCCCGGUGUAGCGGUGAAAUGCGUAGAGAUCGGGAGGAACAUCAGUGGCGAAGGCGGCCAUCUGGGACAACACUGACGCUGAAGCACGAGAGCGUGGGGAGCAAACAGGAUUAGAUACCCCGGUAGUCCCUGUCUCUUAUAA
rnacentral:rRNA from 1 species